GUGGGGAAUCUUAGACAAUGGGCGCAAGCCUGAUCUAGCCAUGCCGCGUGAGCGAUGAAGGCCUUAGGGUUGUAAAGCUCUUUCGUGGGGGAAGAUAAUGACUGUACCCCAAGAAGAAGCCCCGGCUAACUCCGUGCCAGCAGCCGCGGUAAUACGGAGGGGGCUAGCGUUGUUCGGAAUUACUGGGCGUAAAGCGCACGUAGGCGGACUGGAAAGUCAGGGGUGAAAUCCCGGGGCUCAACCCCGGAACUGCCUUUGAAACUCCCAGUCUUGAGUUCGAGAGAGGUGAGUGGAAUUCCGAGUGUAGAGGUGAAAUUCGUAGAUAUUCGGAGGAACACCAGUGGCGAAGGCGACAUACUGGCUCAUUACUGACGCUGAGGCGCGAAAGCGUGGGGAGCAAACAGGAUUAGAAACCCGGGUAGUCC
rnacentral:rRNA from 1 species